CCUAUACACAACCUUGGAGGAAAGCUAAGAAAGAAGGCCUUUUAUAUUUGUCAAAGUUGCAGGGACGAUAGUUGGUCAAUCCUGAGAAUUUAGGUACCCCAAAUGGGGAGCCAACUAUGUAUUUGAUCUAAGCGGUAGCUUAUGUCUAUAAAAUUUACUGUUCAAAGCUAUAAACAAGUAUUCAUAAUUUGUUCAAGAUGGCAUGUGGUUGCAUUUGUUGUCCUUUAUGGCUAUUUUUGCUUUUAACUUUAGCAUUUCCCAUUGCCAUAAUAAUGUCGCCGUUCUUCGUGGUCAUCGCUUUCUUAAAUGCCAUUUGCUGUGAAAAUUGUCAAUGCUGUUCUGAUUUCGUUAUGAACUGCAUGAAGUUGCCCGCCACCUGCGUCUACAAGAUGUACCGCUGUGAAGGAUGUGGAUCUAAAGAUUGAUUAAAUUGGUUCUUUCAAUGUAAUAUUUGUAGUCUUGUAAUAAAUUUAAAUAGGUAGUCAAGACA